AUGAAAGUGCACAUUAAAGAAAAAUAGGAAAGCAAAAGGAGUAAAAACAUGAUCUUUUUACCAGUGUCCUGUCAGGAGCAAGAAUUAGAGAAAGACACAACCCAGGUUGUAGAUAAGAAUAAGAGCACAGAUGCCGGUUCAGAUAUGUGACCGUCACUACCUUCAGUGUCUGAGGGUAACAAGUAGUGUCCUGAAGCCAGCUCAUAGUGGAUGAUAACAGCUGCUGGUUCAGUUUUCAGGAAUUUGUGAGCAAUUACUAACACAGCUAUUACUAA